GGAUUAUCUUAAUGUUACGUGUGUACAUGUUAGGUAGUGGUGGAUUAUCUUAAUGUUACGUGUGUACAUGUUAGGUAGUGGUGGAUUAUCUUAAUGUUACGUGUGUACAUGUUAGGUAGUGGUGGAUUAUCUUAAUGUUACGUGUGUACAUGUUAGGUAGUGGUGGAUUAUCUUAAUGUUACGUGUGUACAUGUUAGGUAGUGGUGGAUUGUCUUAAUGUUACGUGUGAGCAUGUUAGGUAGUGGUGGAUUGUCUUAAUGUUGCGUGUGUACAUGUUAGGUAGUGGUGGAUUAUCUUAAUGUUACGUGUGUGCAUGUUAGGUAGUGGUGUAUUUUAUUUUCUUUACUUGACACCCUGUGGUUUUUGGGUUGUCUUGUAAAGUGUCAC